rnacentral:rRNA from 1 species
CCUACGGGAGGCAGCAGUGAGGAAUAUUGGUCAAUGGGCGCGAGCCUGAACCAGCCAAGUAGCGUGAAGGAUGACUGCCCUACGGGUUGUAAACUUCUUUUAUAAGGGAAUAAAGUGUGGGACGUGUCCUGUUUUGUAUGUACCUUAUGAAUAAGGAUCGGCUAACUCCGUGCCAGCAGCCGCGGUAAUACGGAGGAUCCGAGCGUUAUCCGGAUUUAUUGGGUUUAAAGGGUGCGUAGGCGGCCUUUUAAGUCAGCGGUGAAAGUCUGUGGCUCAACCAUAGAAUUGCCGUUGAAACUGGGAGGCUUGAGUAUGUUUGAGGCAGGCGGAAUGCGUGGUGUAGCGGUGAAAUGCUUAGAUAUCACGCAGAACCCCGAUUGCGAAGGCAGCCUGCCAAGCCAUGACUGACGCUGAUGCACGAAAGCGUGGGGAUCAAACAGGAUUAGAUACCCGUGUAGUC